CCUGCCCAGUCUCUAAGUGCCGUCCUCUCCAAAAUCCCACUAGCCCCUCCACCCCCAACACUCCCUAGACAGACCCUCCCUCGCUCCCCCAUCAAUAGUCCCCCCCCCUGUUUCCUCCAUUCCACCAUUAUCAGGGAGGAAGUGGCCCAGAGUCGCCCCUCCUCUCCCGCUCUCUUGUUCCUACUGGCUGCUGGUGAGGGGCGGCGGUGACCCGGGAGGACAGAACACGACCGCAAGACCCCAGCACCACCAGCCCACACCGACAGAGAGAGAGAGAGAACCAUGAAGACCCCCGCCAACGUCGCCCUGCUCCUCCUCAUCGCUUCCUGCGGCGUCUUCAUCCCAGUAUCAACCAAUGGCAAUACGACCACAGCAACGACUGAAGCCAAAGUGAUCACCACGGUCCCCUUGUCCACGGCCACAAGCGGGACGACCCCCUCCGCCGGGACAGCCAAGCCCAGCACGGUCCAAGUGAUCACCACGGUCCCCUCGUCCACGGCCACAAGCGGGACGACCCCCUCCGCCGGGACCACCAAGCCCAGCACGGUCCAAGCCACGGUAACGACCGGCAACCAUUCCUCCCCAGCGCCGACAACCACGCCUUCCAAUUAUACCGCGGCGCCCGUCUCCGUGACAACAGAUAACAAAACGUCGGAGCUCCUCAACAGCACCGGAGCCGUGUCCGGGAACGCCAGCACGGGAGGGCAGCAGAACUCCUCCUCCGAGGCGUCCACCCCCAAGGACCUGCCGAAAGGUCUCAAUAUGACCAAACCCACCAAUGAACCGAAUAUAAUGAUGACCAGCAAGGCAACCACGCUCCCCCCCCCCAACCCGGGAAAAAGCCCCUCUGCCAACACUGUUCUUCCGACGAGGGGCCAGACGCAGUCGAAGGCCGUUGAGGAGCCUGAAAAGGGGAAGACGACGCUCGCAAAGUCAGAUAAGAAGCUCCUGUGGAUCCUGCUCCCCGUUCUGGGCAUCGCCGUGGCCGCCGUCUUCUUCCUGCUCAAAUUCAAGUGCAAGAACGUCCACAACCACAUGGACACCAUCGACAACGGCACAGAGAACGCGUCUUUCCAAAGCCGCCCUGAAAGCACGAAGGACGGCGUCAUGCUGCUGGGGGUCCGAGCAUCCGGGGCCGGAGAGAAUGCAGCCACAGGAUCAAGAUAAUGGAAGGAAGGAGGAGAAGGUUUCCUCUUGGCCGAUGGAAUCAGUGGAUGGACGUAAGGACGGUCGGCGACGGCUCCUCACUCCUGGAUAAAAGAUUAUGAUUUGUUUUUAUUGUCAUUUUUGUACACGACGAGAUGAUUAUGAAGUGAUCAGAAAACAGAAGAUGUAAGAUAUGAGAGCUCCUGCUCCCCCCUGCACUGAGCCAGCUGAUUCACUCUGUCAUUACUACUGUGGGUUCAACCUCACCCUCACCCCAGCCCCUAUCUACUGAUGGUUACAUGAGGGAAGGGAGGUUUAUAUGAAGCCUAAUGCAUUCACUGGAGAAAUUAAAUUCUGCUCUUGCUUUUCUAAAUUAAAGGACAAAUCCGGUGUAAAAUGGAUCUGGGAUAUGUUUAGUAUGAUAACGAGUUGGAAUGUUCGCUUGGGAGCAAAAAUGCGCUUAUAGACGCAUUCUUAAAUUGGCUGUUUUUAGCCGAUUCUACCAAAACCCUAAAAACUUCGAACGAUGGGGGCAUUUGUUAUGGUAAAAACGAAAUCGCUACUUUGAACCACUUAAAAGGCUACAAGUAGCCCGACACUUCUUUAGUAGUAUAAUAAGGGUCUUAACAUAUAAAAUGAGGCGUUGAUAACUUUGUAAGUGCACAAAUUGUUUAUUAAAACGACAUUUUAUACACACAUUAGCUGUGUUCGAAAUCGUUCCCUUUACACUUGUUCCCUAUUCCCUAUAUAGUGUACAUGAUUUAGUGCACCACUGCACUAUAUAGGGAAUAGGGAACGAGAAUUCGGACACUACGCUGAACAUUUCUAAACGUCAUUUGCGUCAGUAAAUGCGCCGGGUAUUUGUGUGACGCAGACAGAUGCGCCCACAUCAGGUAAACAUACCAGGCAGUCACGAGGAAAGCUGGAGGUUGUAUUGAUGUUGAAUGUUACAUUUCCUUGUUCAAGUAUUUUUUUUAUUCAUUUUGAAUGUUAAAUAUUCUAUGUUAAAUCCCAAAUAAAUUGUUGACAUUUCUAAACGAAAGCCGGAGACUCCAUCAUUAAAUGUAUUCGUUUUCGCGGUUAUUCAGCUUCUUCUUCUCCUCCGGAAAAACACGACCGCAUUGCAUUGUGGUAUACGGGAGUAACAUGUAGGGAACAUCGUAUGUACCCUAUUUUAAGUCCACUAUAUAGUGCCCUAUAUAGUGGACCACUGAGAAUUCGAACACCCUACAAAAUGGCGUGCACCCUAUUUAGUGGACUACAUCCAUGAUAGGGAACGAUUUCGAACACAGAUAAUAACAUCAGUAGUUCACCCGUCGACGCCAUCUUGUUUUCAAGACUCGAUAAGUAGAUUGGCGAACACAUGUCCAUGGCGAACACAGGCUUGCGUGUUGCUGACGGAUGUCACAAUCUCUGUGUUCGUCAAUCUACCUAUCGAGUCUUAAAAACAAGAUGAACGUUCCAACUUGUUAGCAUACCAAACAUAUCCCAAAACCGGAUUCUCCUUUAACAACAUAAUUAUCUCCGAAAUCUGCGAUAAUUUUCUGUAGCCUAAAUUUUUAUUUAAGUUAAUUUUGAAAUUUCCGAAAUAAAUAGCAGAUCCCUAAAACUUUAUCUCAGAAUUCUGAGAUUAGUAUGUUGUUUAUUCAGAAACACAUGAGCUUUAUUUUCUUGAGUGAACGUAUUAUGCAACCCUUAUGCAAAGCAAUUCAUACAUGUGUUGUACACUGUGAUUAUUAGUUGUUUGCUAGCUUUUAUUUACUUUAAUUUCUGAUAUUAGGCUACAAAUGUACAUUUGUUGUUAGUUUUUUGUUGACUGAUUCAGCUUUCUUAUGCUUUGUAAACAUGACAACAAUAUUAGAAAUGGAAAAAGAAGUACUCUCUUGUAUUUUGUCCAUCUGAAAAAACCUAUUGGUGGAAAUCAGUGUCAACAUACAAUCACACACCAAAGUAUCCAUGAUUAGGUUGUUUAUUUUAUUUGACCAACAAACUGAUCUUCGUUUAAAGUUGAUAAUUGUUCCGUUAGUUAUUUAGUUGUUCCUUUAAUAAAUUCGACAUUUCUGGAGGGAAUCCUGCUUCUGCUCCGUCAUUCGUCGGUUCAUGACUUUCGCCACUAGAGGGAGCCAACGGCUCGUUCCUUGGUGCGAUUCUAGAAGGCCUUUCAUUAGAUUUAGCGACGCAUCGGAACAGAAUAGCUCCUUUCCAUAUGUGUGUGCCGGUGCAUGCAUGUUUGCAUCUACCUUGGUCUGUGCGUGCGUGCAUGCAUGCAUGUGUGAGUGAGUAGCAUGCAUAUGCAUUUGUGUGCUCGCAUUUGUGUGUGUGUGAAUGUGAUUGCAUGCGACCGCUUAGCAGAACAGAGUAGUUUGACUGAAUUCGAUCUGCUGACCCACCCACUCCACCUUUUUUA
ensembl:lncRNA